GAUGGAUGUGGGGCGGCCAAAGCCAACGUCUGAUAGAUGUGGGGCAGCCAAAGCCAACGUCCGGUAGAUGUGGGGCAGCCAAACCAACGUCUGAUGGAUGUGGGGCGGCCAAAGUCAACCUCUGAUAGAUGUGGGGCGGCCAAACCAAUGUCUGAUGGAUGUGGGGCGGCCAAACCAACGUCCGGUAGAUGUGGGGCAGCCAAACCAACGGCUGAUGGAUGUGGGGCAGCCAAAGCCAACGUCCGGUAGAUGUGGGGCAGCCAAACCAACGGCUGAUGGAUGUGGGGCAGCAAAAGCCAACGUCCGGUAGAUGUGGGGCAGCCAAACCAACGGCUGAUGGAUGUGGGGCAGCCAAAGCCAACGUCCGGUAGAUGUGGGGCAGCCAAACCAACGUCUGAUGGAUGUGGGGCGGCCAAAGUCAACCUCUGAUGGAUGUGGGGCGGCCAAAGCGAACGUCCGAUGGAUGUGGGGCAGCCAAACCAACGUCCGAUGGAUGUGGGGCAGCCAAAGCCAAUAUCCCAACGGAUGUGGGGCAGCCAAACCAACGUCUGAUAGAUGUGGGGCGGCCAAA
ensembl:lncRNA